UACGUAGGGUGCGAGCGUUAAUCGGAAUUACUGGGCGUAAAGCGUGCGCAGGCGGUUUUGUAAGCCAGAUGUGAAAUCCCCGGGCUUAACCUGGGAAUGGCAUUUGGGACUGCAAGGCUCGAGUGCGGCAGAGGAGACUGGAAUUCCUGGUGUAGCAGUGAAAUGCGUAGAUAUCAGGAAGAACACCCGUGGCGAAGGCGGCUCUCUGGUACGGUACUGACGCUGAGACGCGAAAGCGUGGGGAGCGAACAGG
rnacentral:rRNA from 1 species